AGGGGGGGGGUUCAUUUGAAUCGAGCUCCCAAGAUAAAAAGUGGAGACACAUAAUGUUAUAUUUCCAUCAUUUCCACGCCUAAUUGGCAAGUAUCUUUCUCAGCCUUGAGUGUCAGUUGACCUGUGAUUGUUGGAUAGUCCACUUGGAUGAUAUUAAUCCUCAUCGUAAGUGACAAUAUUGCCGUCGAUGUUCGUAAAUGAGCCAUGAACAGCUUGAAGUAGUCUGCCACAACAACAGCAUCCAACGGGGCGGCUCAUCCAUGUGAACUUAUUGCGAACAUUGUUUUUGGUUGGUAAAGAAACACCAGUUGAAAGGCGAAAAUAACAGACGGCGUGACCUCAACAGGCUGAUAUGACAAAUAAAUGCUGAAGAAAUUGAUCAAAUUUCGGCGUUCGCCGCUCUUCAUCUGUUUAUUUUUGAUUGUCUUGGUCUCAACGGUCAGCAAGCUGUACUUUGGGUCACAAGAAGAAGCUGUAGACAAGCUGGGCACAGUCGUGGGGUAUUUUGAAAGAAAGACGAUACUCGAUAUUAGAAGAGUUGAACCAGAGUUAGAAAUAAAGGAACCUAGCAAUGAAACGACAAGAAAGUCAAUAACCGAGCCG
rnacentral:sRNA from 1 species